UACGAAGGGGGCUAGCGUUGUUCGGAUUUACUGGGCGUAAAGCGCACGUAGGCGGAUUGUUAAGUCAGGGGUGAAAUCCCGGAGCUCAACUCCGGAACUGCCUUUGAUACUGGCAAUCUUGAGGCUGGAAGAGGUUAGUGGAAUUCCCAGUGUAGAGGUGAAAUUCGUAGAUAUUGGGAAGAACACCAGUGGCGAAGGCGGCUAACUGGUCCAGAUCUGACGCUGAGGUGCGAAAGCUAGGGGAGCAAACAGG
rnacentral:rRNA from 1 species